UACGUAGGGUGCAAGCGUUGUCCGGAAUUAUUGGGCGUAAAGAGCUCGUAGGCGGUUUGUCGCGUCUGCUGUGAAAACUCGGGGCUUAACCCCGGGCCUGCAGUGGGUACGGGCAGACUAGAGUGCGGUAGGGGAGACUGGAAUUCCUGGUGUAGCGGUGAAAUGCGUAGAGAUCCGGAGGAACACCGACGGCGUAGGCAGCGCCCUGGACGACACCUGACGCUGAGGCACGAAAGCUGGGGGAGCGAACGGG
rnacentral:rRNA from 1 species